rnacentral:lncRNA from 1 species
UUUCUUUGCUGGUGGAAUUCUUUUGUUUGCUAACAAAAUAGUAGGAGAAGGAGUAACCUCUUGGACCUCAUCUGUUUCAUCCCAAGCAACUCCGUCAUCGUCACAAUCAUCAGGGACAUCAUGAACCUCAUUCACAUGUCCGUUGUCAACAUCCUCUUGUGUUGGUGGUAUGAUGGGAUUAGAGCUCAUAGGAUUCCAACGAUCGCUUUCAUCAUUAGUUAUGUCAGCAAACAUCACUGUCAAGUCCUCCUCAUUUUGCAACGGUUUUUUUCGAAACUUGCCGCAACCUGGAAUCUCCUGCAAGGACAUCAUCGUUAUUUACAAAAAGAAAUGACAUGAACCUAUUGCUUAACAGAAAUAAAAUAGUUUCAGAACUCACAGCCCUUGCCUUCUUCCACCACUCAUCAUCCAUAUCAAUCACACCUCUUGCUCUGUCCCAUCCCGCACCCGUUUGCUUCGUCAUUAAUUUCUUCCAAGUCGUUAAAUCGGUCUUCAA